rnacentral:rRNA from 1 species
UAUCAUUACUGACACUGAGGAACGAAAGCAUGGGUAGCGAAGAGGAUUAGAUACCCUCGUAGUCCAUGCCGUAAACGAUGUGUGUUAGACGUUGGAAAUUUAUUUUCAGUGUCGCAGCGAAAGCGAUAAACACACCGCCUGGGGAGUACGACCGCAAGGUUAAAACUCAAAUGAAUUGACGGGGACCCGCACAAGUAGUGGAGCAUGUGGUUUAAUUCGAAGAUACGCGCAGAACCUUACCAACACUUGACAUGUUCGUCGCGACUCUAAGAGAUUAGAGUUUUCGGUUCGGCCGGACGAAACACAGGUGCUGCAUGGCUGUCGUCAGCUCGUGUCGUGAGAUGUUGGGUUAAGUCCCGCAACGAGCGCAACCCUCACUUUUAGUUGCCAUCAUUAAGUUGGGCACUCUGAAAGAACUGCCAGUGAUAAGCUGGAGGAAGGUGGGGAUGACGUCAAGUCCUCAUGGCCCUUACGUGUUGGGCUACACACGUGCUACAAUGGCAUCUACAACAGGAAGCAAAACGGCAACGUUAAGCAAAUCCCGAAAAGAUGCCUCAGUUCGGAUUGCACUCUGCAACUCGAGUGCAUGAAGCUGGAAUUACUAGUAAUCGUGGAUCAGCGUGCCACGGUGAAUGCGUUCCCGGGUCUUGUACACACCGCCCGUCACACCAUGGGAGUUGGUUCUACCUUAAGGCAAGGUUUCAAACCCUUGACCACGGUAUAGUCAGCGACUGGGGUGAAGUCGUAACAAGGUAACCGUA